AUGUUUGCGGUUCAAGAGUCCUAUUGGGUACCCAUGGCGAUUUUGAAUUUCUCUGGUUCGGCUGCCAUUUGGCUGCAAUCAGUACAAUGGAAGAUCGUUGGUCCUGUGUGGGAGUCAUUCACUGCUCUAUUAUGCACUCGAUUUGGUCGCGAUAAGCACCACUUGCUUAUCCGUCAGUUUUAUGCUAUACGGCAGACGGAUUCUGUUGCGGAUUUCAUUGAACGUUUUGAAACUUUAAAGAAUCACAUGAUAUCAUACUCUGAACUGACACAUCCGUAUUUUUCCUUACACGAUUCAUCGAGGGUCUGCGGGUGGACAUACCGGCGGUGGUUCUCAUCCAACGCCCGCCCGACCUCGACAUGGCAUGUUCUAUGGCGCUGCUUCAGGAGGAAGUGGCGGAGGGCGAGGUUGCCAGGCAUAUGGUGCCCAGUCGCUUCCCAUCACCACGUUUCAUGA
rnacentral:rRNA from 1 species